rnacentral:lncRNA from 1 species
UUCCUCUAUUUUCCAUCCUAGGAGUCCCAAUCGAGGGGGGAGGCUUGAAGUGGCCAAAAGGAAAAGGUUAGACGAUAAAUUUUUUUUGUCUUUCUUUUUUAUUUUUUUUUAUUGAUUUUUUCUAUAUCUGUCCCAUUUUUUUCUCUAUUUUUUUUCAGUCCUCAGGAUUUCCAAUCGGGUGGGAGGCUUGGAGCGAUCGAACUGGCAA